ensembl:ncRNA asRNA:CR45270 antisense RNA:CR45270
GUGUGUGUGGGUGCACCUGCAGAGGCCGAAACGCAGGCAGGUACAAAAGACUUAGGCAACGAACCUUCCACUUCAGCAUGCACUUGCGGCGAAGGGAGAUGGCAGAUCAAAAGAGAGAGAAAGAGAGAGGGCAAGAAAGAGAGCCACAGCCACCCUCGACACGGGCAAACCGCUCCUGCAUUUCGUAUCUCCCGGACUUUGCGUUUAUUUCUGUGCUGCGGCAUUGCAUUCAUCGUCGAAAAUUCGAAUUCGCUGCUCGGUUCACUCUACUUCGCUUUCGAACUCGCCGCCUUGUUGUUCUGUUUUUGUUGUUGUCAUUCGGCUUGUAAACCGCGUGAAAGUGGUAGUGCAAUCGGGCAUCAGGUAGAGAAACAAACACACACAACAGCGGGAGAGAGGUGGAGAGAAAGACCGAGAUCACCGCAUGCCAAGAGAAGUCCCUGCAAAAAAUUACUGGAUACAAAGAUGCACUUUCUGAAAACUAUUCCGCGGUUAAGCAGUUCAGAUAAUUAAUAUAGUUCAACUCUUAAUUCUUAUAUAAAAUACUGUUGAUAGGUUUCCUAUACACAAGCUAAAUCACUAAAGCACUUUGUAUGAUUAAAUAUUAAAAAAAUUUACGAAUAUUGCAUAUAUUUAACAUAAAAUCAAAUAAAUCAACUCGAAUUGUUAGCACUGUGAAAUGAAGGAUUUUUUUCUCCGUGUGGCAUACAUACGUAAAAUAGUUGUGCAUGUACCACAAUCGAAAACGCCAAGUAGCUGCCGUGCCGCCGCAGCCUCCGCCGCUCUCUGUUCCGUUCUCUCGGCCUGGCUUUCGGUUAACCUCAGUCGGGCUCCUACAACCUCACCUCGCCAGGCGGCGCGGCAAUCAGCGCUGUGUCGUGUGGAUCGGCGGACGAACCGACGGACGGUGCUUGUGUGCUUUCCGCCAUGGUAAAGGGUGACUCCCCCCAGCUUCCUUUCCUCCGAGCUCCCCCCACUUGGAUCCCGCACUCACCAAUUCACGUUGUUUGUCUUUUGGCGCUGCGCACGCGUGGAACUGUGGUUAAGAACGUAAAGCAGCGGGCGCUAGUUUUCACUGAAGCACUAGACAUUCUACGCAAUGUAAAAUAUUUAUGUAAAAUGCAAUUUUACAGUAAAUAUUUAAAAAGUACAUUCAUGAUGAUAAGUAACAAUAAAUAAAGAUAAAAUUAAAAAUAUUUAAUGUAAUAUGUUGAGUUCCAGGAGCCCAAUUACAAACACUUGCAUCUCAAGUUUGAAUUUGAGUUUUAUUUUCAUUUCGGUUUAUUGUUGCAAUAUAUUAAAUGUUUAAAACUAAAUUUAGGCUUAGUUUAAUCCAUUUUUUAUUUAUUGAUUUUGCCGUUUUUGCGUUUACACAUUAGUUGAUUUUCAUGUAAUAAAUUUAAUUUGUGGUUUUUAACUGGUCGAAACAUUUCACUAAUGCUUGAUUACGUUUUUGUACAUAUACCGCUAAGUAGUAUAUAUAUGUAUGCAUGUAUCGGUGUGUGUGUUUUGUGUGCGAGUGUGGCGGUGUAUAUAACUAAAAACAAACAACAAUCGCAUUAAAUGUACUUAUAUAUUUGGUUUUUUUCUUCAAAAAGUCUUAUAUCUGUCCGUUAUGCAAAAGUAAGAAACCGAAGAGAAGCAUUCACAAACAAACAUUCCAUCCCUCCGCGCGUCCCUUUGUCCAGGACAUUUUUGUCUAACCUGAUUGCCUAAAAUUAAUGUAACAAACCAUGGAAACGUUGAUGUUGGUUCUCGGAUUCUCACCGAUCCGCGGAUCUGCCGAUCUCAUCGAACACUAUAAUGCAAAGGCGUUUGUCGAAUUCUCAAUUCCAAGUAGCAGCCUGAGUGACGCGUGAAAGUCAAGUUUCAAAGGACUAGGCGGAGAUGUGAUUUACCAUAUGAAUCCAGAAAUCGGACCUUCGAUCGUGUCUAAGCUGUUAUAAAAAUAUAGGAACUUAUGCGGGGGUAUUCCAAAAAUAUCUCUAUAUUAAAGAAAAACUCAUUUGGUGUCCUUAUGCUGAGCACCUUAAGAUUUGAGAAUAAGAAAAGUAAGUAACGUUGGCUCGAUUGGUGGAAAACAAUAUUGAAAUCAUAUAUGCUUUGAGUAAACUAGAUGUUGUUUAAUUGCUAGUAAAGUUAAUAUACUUGUGUUUGCUGUUCUUGUUCAUGUCAGAGUGUGAUGGAUGGGGUUUUGUAUCGAUAGAUGCAUUAAAACUAGGCACACCAACUAGCUACGAAAAUACAUUCCCUGCUCCCCGCAACGAAGGUACACACAUUAAUAUUGUACUUUAAAAUAUUGUGCCUCGAACACAAACAACCUAAGGUCAAAGGAAACCAACUUAAGAUCGAAAUAACAUUGUUAACUUUUUGCCAGGGCUCGAACCGAAAGUCCUCCUGUUUGUUCUGUGUUUUUCCUUAUAAAUUUGUUGGUUUUUUUCAUAUUUUAUAUUUGUUUUUAGUUUUCAAUUCGACAACUUGUUUGCUAAAAUUUAAAUGUAACCAUACUCUUGUGUUUCCUUUUUUUUGUUAUUUAUAAUACUGUUUUUUAAUAUAUGUUUUUUUUUUUGAAUGCAGAAAGGGAGCAAUGCAAGGAAACUCUUGGAACUUCCGCUUUUCUAACGAAAAACAAUUGCAUAAUACAUUUGUAAGUGGAUAUAUUUUGUUGCGAAGUUCUGAUUCUUUUUUUCUUAUUUGUGUUGGCAGUGAUAUUGCGAAACGUUCUUCUUUCGACUUGGAAAUCAGCUCGACAUCGAAAUAAUAUAGUACACGUUAGUUAUGCGCUUGUUCCGGUUUGCAUUUGGAUAAGACUCUAUGGGGUGUGUAUGGUCUGUUGUGGUCUGGCUCAAAGUACAGCUCAAGAUGAGGCUUUGUAAGAUUUGCUUAAGAAAGGACUUGAUCCUCAAUGGGGUUUCAUAAGAAAGUAGAAAGUGUUGCCGUCUGCUGUUGUAUUUACAAAAUGCUUCGAUGUCAUUACUCGUAUGACCUAAAACGAUUUCAAAACUAGUCAUGUUAAAUGUCUCUAUAUAUCC